rnacentral:rRNA from 1 species
GAUGAACGCUGGCGGCGUGCCUAAUACAUGCAAGUCGAGCGAACGGACGAGAAGCUUGCUUCUCUGAUGUUAGCGGCGGACGGGUGAGUAAAACGUGGAUAACCUACCUAUAAGACUGGGAUAACUUCGGGAAACCGGAGCUAAUACCGGAUGAUAUUUUGAACCGCAUGGUUCAAAAGUGAAAGACGGUCUUGCUGUCACUUAUAGAUGGAUCCGCGCUGCAUUAGCUAGUUGGUAAGGUAACGGCUUACCAAGGCAACGAUGCAUAGCCGACCUGAGAGGGUGAUCGGCCACACUGGAACUGAGACACGGUCCAGACUCCUACGGGAGGCAACAGUAGGGAAUCUUCCGCAAUGGGCGAAAGCCUGACGGAGCAACGCCGCGUGAGUGAUGAAGGUCUUCGGAUCGUAAAACUCUGUUAUUAGGGAAGAACAUAUGUGUAAGUAACUGUGCACAUCUUGACGGUACCUAAUCAGAAAGCCACGGCUAACUACGUG